CCCUGUCAGAGUCUCCCUCGAGCCUCGAUGCCGAUUGUCUGCUUUGACCCUGCGUAUGAGUUAUACUUACAUUGGCCCCUGGCUGGGGAAGUGCAAUCCCAGUACUGGGGGACUGGAGACAGGGGGAUUUCUGGUGCUCACUGGCCAGCACCAGGUUCACUGAGAGAGGCUGUCUCAGAGAAGAAAAAGAUCAUCAAGAAAGACACCUGACAUGAACCACUGGCUUCCAUAGCACAGGCACACGCACAGGCACACGCACAGGCACACGUACAACCCAGG
rnacentral:lncRNA from 1 species